rnacentral:lncRNA from 1 species
CCCAGAUCAAACAGUGAUGUGACACUUUCUGAGAAGCCUGCUGUAAUAACGGCCACAACAGAGGAGACACUCAGGGUUAAAAGAUCAGACGGAAGCAACAGCUGUUCAGAUCUUAUCAGCCUUCCUGGAGAGAUGGUCCUGUUUUUGCUCCUGGCAGCCCUUUCUCUGUUCCCCACUGGGGAGGCAGCUUAAUCAAUGUCACCUGGGGGCACACAACAUCACAGAACAGAGAGGAACCCUCAGGUCAGCCCCAUGAGAAGAGCCAUCUGCCACCCAGACUGUAAUGGGUUCUGCAUCCCCCAUGACCUCAUUCCUGCCCUUCCUCCUGUAUGACCCCUUCCGUGGUUCGAGCACUGAGAAGAGGGCAACCCCAUGACUGUCCUGCAGUCUCUGUGGGCCAUCAGUAGAUGAGAGUGCCUUUCCUCUUCUUCAGCUGAUUAAGGCUGAUUUCACAGAUGCAGUGAGCCCCA